rnacentral:lncRNA from 1 species
GGGUGUAUGAAUGAAUGAUGUGUGAGAAAACAUGUUGUGUGAGGUAUUGAGCUCCAGAGUUUUCAUUGUUGUAUGUAUUGUUCACAAGAAAACAUGAAUGAUAUUGCCUUAAUCUUGAUGAUUGAUUGAAUUGCAUGUGAAUGUCAUAUGAUCAAGGCCAUUUUUGAAAACCCUUUUCUAGCCAAACUUUCACCCAAAGUGCUUGAAAUAUUAUACCCUUUUUGAACCUUAGCCUUAAACAGGAUGAGAACCCUUGAUUUGAAAUUCUUUACCUUGAGUUGGGUUGAGCUUAACUGUAUGUGUUGAAAAGGUUCAAGUUUGGGGUUGUAUGGGGGAAAUUGAAAGGCAAUUGAAAAGCAUUGAGCUCAAAUGUUGAGAAAGAAAAAUGCAUGAUAAAAAGAAAAGAAAAGAAGAAAAACAUGAAGAUGAGCUCAAUGUAAAAAUAAAGCAAAAGGGAAGAAGUUGGGAACAAGUGUGAUUGGUGAGGUAGAGAGUUGUGCUUAAACUUUGAAUAUUAUUGUAGCUCUCUUAACUCAAGGAUUUUGCAUUCCAGAAAAACCAAUUUUUCUUGUUAGCCCAACCUCAAUACAAG